rnacentral:lncRNA from 1 species
AGGGAAAACAGGGAGAGAAUUGAAAAGUGAUCCCUGAUCAUCCUGAUGCACAUUAUGAUAACCCAGGACCUUUGCUAUCUGUGGCUCCCAGUGAUUCCCACAGUGGACUCAGCUCAACACCACAGCCACACACAAGCUGAGGCAGCCCAGCCCAAUCCAGCCCAAUCCAAACUGGAGUCACUUCUGAUACUCCGCAAACCUGGAAUCCUGAGGGCUGGUGUUCCCGAAAGUCUGUGGAUUUCCAUAAACCAUCCUGAGAAUACAGGAGGGAUGUGUCAUCUCACUCAGCACAACAAUGUCUUCAUUCUU